CCAAUAGCGUAUAUUAAAGUUGUUGCAGUUAAAAAGCUCGUAGUUGAAUUUCGGAAUCUGUCCGUUGGUCGGGCUUCACUGUCCGUACUGGUGUGAUGGGUUCUUACCUUCUGAAUAACCAGCAUGCCCUUAACUUGGUGCGCUGGGGAAGCAGGACUAUUACCUUGAAAAAAUUAGAGUGCUCCAAGCAGGCUAGCGCCUGAAUACAUUAGCAUGGAAUAAUAAAAUAGGACGGCAUGGUUCUAUUUUGUUGGUUUCUAGGAUCACCGUAAUGAUUAAUAGGGAUAGUUGGGGGCAUUAGUAUUCAAUUGUCAGAGGUGAAAUUCUUGGAUUUAUUGAAGACUAACUUCUGCGAAAGCAUUUGCCAAGGAUGUUUUCAUUAAUCAAGAACGAAAGUUAGGGGAUCGAAGACGAUCAGAUACCGUCGUAGUCUUAACCAUAAACUAUGCCGACUAGGGAUCGGACGAUGUUAAUUUUUUAAUGACUCGUUCGGCGCCUUACG
rnacentral:rRNA from 1 species